GAUGAACGCUGGCGGCGUGCCUAAUACAUGCAAGUCGAGCGAACGGACGAGAAGCUUGCUUUUCUGAUGUUAGCGGCGGACGGGUGAGUAACACGUGGAUAACCUACCUAUAAGACUGGGAUAACUUCGGGAAACCGGAGCUAAUACCGGAUAAUAUUUUGAACCGCAUGGUUCAAAAGUGAAAGACGGUCUUGCUGUAACUUAUAGAUGGAUCCGGGCUGCUUUAGCGAGUUGGUAAGGUAACGGCCUACCAAGGCAACGAUGCAUAGCCGACCUGGGAGGGGGAUCGGCCACCCUGGAACGGGGACACGCCCCAGACUCCUACGGGAGGCAGCAGUAGGGAAUCUUCCGCAAUGGGGGAAAGCCUGACGGAGCAAGGCCGCGUGAGUGAUGAAGGUCUUGGGAUCGUAAAACCCUGUUAUUAGGGAAGAACAGAUGUGUAAUGAACUGUGCACAUCUUGACGGUACCUAAUCAGAAAGCCACGGCUAACUACGUG
rnacentral:rRNA from 1 species